GAUGAACGCUGGCGGCGUGCCUAAUACAUGCAAGUCGAGCGAACGGACGAGAAGCUUGCUUCUCUGAUGUUAGCGGCGGACGGGUGAGUAACACGUGGAUAACCUACCUAUAAGACUGGGAUAACUUCGGGAAACCGGAGCUAAUACCGGAUAAUAUUUUGAACCGCAUGGUUCAAAAGUGAAAGACGGUCUUGCUGUCACUUAUAGAUGGAUCCGCGCUGCAUUAGCUAGUUGGUAAGGUAACGGCUUACCAAGGCAACGAUGCAUAGCCGACCUGAGAGGGUGAUCGGCCACACUGGAACGGAGACACGGUCCAGACUCCUACGGGAGGCAGCAGUAGGGAAUCUUCCGCAGUGGGCGAAAGCCUGACGGAGCAACGCCGCGUGAGUGAUGAAGGUCUUCGGAUCGUAAAACUCUGUUAUGAGGGAAGAACAUAUGUGUAAGUAACUGUGCACAUCUUGACGGUACCUAAUCAGAAAGCCACGGCUAACUACGUG
rnacentral:rRNA from 1 species